AUUGAACGCUGGCGGCAGGCCUAACACAUGCAAGUCGAACGGUAACAGGAAGCAGCUUGCUGCUUUGCUGACGAGUGGCGGACGGGUGAGUAAUGUCUGGGAAACUGCCCGAUGGAGGGGGAUAACUACUGGAAACGGUAGCUAAUACCGCAUAACGUCGCAAGACAAAAGAGGGGGACCUUAGGGCCUCUUGCCAUCGGAUGUGCCCAGAUGGGAUUAGCUAGUAGGUGGGGUAACGGCUCACCUAGGCGACGAUCCCUAGCUGGUCUGAGAGGAUGACCAGCCACACUGGAACUGAGACACGGUCCAGACUCCUACGGGAGGCAGCAGUGGGGAAUAUUGCACAAUGGGCGCAAGCCUGAUGCAGCCAUGCCGCGUGUAUGAAGAAGGCCUUCGGGUUGUAAAGUACUUUCAGCGGGGAGGAAGGGAGUAAAGUUAAUACCUUUGCUCAUUGGCGUUACCCGCAGAAGAAGCACCGGCUAACUCCGUG
rnacentral:rRNA from 1 species